ensembl:snoRNA SNORA73 Small nucleolar RNA SNORA73 family
CUAAAUUCAUAGAUUCUUUGGGGUUCAAGAAACUUUUUAUCACUCUCCCCGGUCUCUGUCCAGGUGAUGUAGGGGAACAUAGGGCUCUGUCCCUUUCCACAACGUUAGAGAAGAAGCUGGGCUUUGUGUCUGCACCUGCAUAUUCCUACAAAUUCUCAGAGUCCUUUGAGCAACGACUGAGGAGAUUAAACCAUGCAGAAAACAAUU